rnacentral:misc_RNA from 1 species
CCAACAUCCCUAUCACCAAGAACAACAUGGAACGGGAGCUCAAGAAAGGGUCCUAUGAUUCGAUGAAAAUGAUGUAGCACAGAUACCCAUUUAGUUUUUGUCAACUCAAAUCCUUUAGCCGAAACAUCACCCAAUACUAGCAGCAUAUCAGGCUUCAAUGUAUGAAAAGACUUCAUGAAAAACUUGGACAGGUAAUAAUCUCUAAAAUAUUGAUUAAAAAUGCCAGCUUCGGAACCAUAGAGCAAUAAAUUAGCGACCAUCAUGACUUUCAAAUCCUCCUCCGUGUUGUCCUCUUUAUCGACGACGUACUCUUGAUUAGGGUACGCCGUUGUCGGCACGAUGGUGCAGGAUGGAGUUGAUACCCAGUCUUCGUAAGGGAAGAGAAUGCCGAAGAGCAGUAGAGGCAACAGUAGCUUCCAAUUCCAUGUGGGAAGGUCC